GUCAGUGUGCUGUAAUGGUUUGAGUGUUGGACUGUGACUCUAAAGAUCAGGGUUCAAUUCCCACAUCUGCCG